rnacentral:rRNA from 1 species
GAACGGGAAUUACUUUAUUGAAACUUCGGUCGAUUUAAUUUAAUUCUAGUGGCGGACGGGUGAGUAACGCGUGGGUAACCUGCCUUAUACAGGGGGAUAACAGUCAGAAAUGGCUGCUAAUACCGCAUAAGCGCACAGAGCUGCAUGGCUCAGUGUGAAAAACUCCGGUGGUAUAAGAUGGACCCGCGUUGGAUUAGCUGGUUGGUGGGGUAACGGCCCACCAAGGCGACGAUCCAUAGCCGGCCUGAGAGGGUGAACGGCCACAUUGGGACUGAGACACGGCCCAGACUCCUACGGGAGGCAGCAGUGGGGAAUAUUGCACAAUGGGGGAAACCCUGAUGCAGCGACGCCGCGUGAAGGAAGAAGUAUCUCGGUAUGUAAACUUCUAUCAGCAGGGAAGAUAGUGACGGUACCUGACUAAGAAGCCCCGGCUAACUACGUGCCAGCAGCCGCGGUAAUACGUAGGGGGCAAGCGUUAUCCGGAUUUACUGGGUGUAAAGGGAGCGUAGACGGUGUGGCAAGUCUGAUGUGAAAGGCAUGGGCUCAACCUGUGGACUGCAUUGGAAACUGUCAUACUUGAGUGCCGGAGGGGUAAGCGGAAUUCCUAGUGUAGCGGUGAAAUGCGUAGAUAUUAGGAGGAACACCAGUGGCGAAGGCGGCUUACUG